rnacentral:rRNA from 1 species
GAUGAACGCUGGCGGCGUGCCUAAUACAUGCAAGUCGAGCGAAUGGAUUAAGAGCUUGCUCUUAUGAAGUUAGCGGCGGACGGGUGAGUAACACGUGGGUAACCUGCCCAUAAGACUGGGAUAACUCCGGGAAACCGGGGCUAAUACCGGAUAACAUUUUGAACCGCAUGGUUCGAAAUUGAAAGGCGGCUUCAGCUGUCACUUAUGGAUGGACCCGCGUCGCAUUAGCUAGUUGGUGAGGUAACGGCUCACCAAGGCAACGAUGCGUAGCCGACCUGAGAGGGUGAUCGGCCAAACUGGGACUGAGACACGGCCCAGACUCCUACGGGAGGCAGCAGUAGGGAAUCUUCCGCAAUGGACGAAAGUCUGACGGAGCAACGCCGCGUGAGUGAUGAAGGCUUUCGGGUCGUAAAACUCUGUUGUUAGGGAAGAACAAGUGCUAGUUGAAUAAGCUGGCACCUUGACGGUACCUAACCAGAAAGCCACGGCUAACUACGUGCCAGCCGCCGCCGUAA